rnacentral:rRNA from 1 species
AACGAACGCUGGCGGCGCGUCUUAAGCAUGCAAGUCGGACGGCAAGGGUUGUGCUUGCACAACUCCUAGAGUGGCGGACUGGUGAGUAACGCGUGGGUGACCUGCCCUCGAGAUGGGGAUAGCCAUUAGAAAUAGUGGAUAAUACCGAAUACGCUCAUGACCCUGUGGGGAUAUGAGGAAACAGGCUACGGCCUGGCUCGAGGAUGGGCCCGCGUCCCAUUAGCUAGUUGGUGAGGUAACGGCCCACCAAGGCGACGAUGGGUAUCCGGCCUGAGAGGGUGUACGGACACAUUGGGACUGAGAUACGGCCCAAACUCCUACGGGAGGCAGCAGCUAAGAAUAUUCCGCAAUGGACGAAAGUCUGACGGAGCGACGCCGCGUGGAUGAAGAAGGCCGGAAGGUUGUAAAAUCCUUUGCCGAUGAAGAAUAAGUGGUGUAGGGAAUGACAUCAUGAUGACAUUAGUCGGUGAAUAAGCCCGGCUAACUACGUGCC